rnacentral:rRNA from 1 species
ACCCUACGGGGGGCAGCAGUGGGGGAUAUUGCACAAUGGGGGAAACCCUGAUGCAGCGACGCCGCGUGAGCGAUGAAGUAUUUCGGUAUGUAAAGCUCUAUCAGCAGGGAAGAAAAUGACGGUACCUGACUAAGAAGCCCCGGCUAACUACGUGCCAGCAGCCGCGGUAAUACGUAGGGGGCGAGAGUUAUCCGGAUUUACUGGGCGUAAAGGGAGCGUAGACGGCUGGUCAAGUCUGAAGUGAAAGCCCGGGGCUUAACCCCGGAACGGCUUUGGAAACUGAGCAGCUAGAGUGCUGGAGAGGG